rfam:Aedes albopictus isolate Foshan contig132231, whole genome shotgun sequence.
UAGUCUAGUGGUUAAGACUACGGAUCGCCAAUCCGGAGACGGCGGGUUCGAUUCCCGU